UACAGAGGGUGCGAGCGUUGUCCGGAAUCACUGGGCGUAAAGGGCGCGUAGGUGGCCUGAUAAGUAGGGGGUGAAAUCUCGAGGCUCAACUUCGAGGCUGCCUCCUAAACUGUCAGGCUUGAGCAGAGUAGAGGCAGGUGGAAUUCCCGGUGUAGCGGUGGAAUGCGUAGAGAUCGGGAAGAACAUCGGUGGCGAAGGCGGCCUGCUGGGCUCUUGCUGACACUGAGGCGCGGCAGCGUGGGGAGCAAACAGG
rnacentral:rRNA from 1 species